CUCUUAAGGGCUGUGCGCCUGCGCGGGAUUGCGACUGCGCCCUGACUGAGGGGAAAUGGUCUGCAGGGCGCAUGCGCAGGAGGCUUGAGUGUUCGCUGGUGUGAGGCAGGCGAGGGGCUGUGGGAUCUUUGGGCUUUCUGUGUGGAAGGAAUGAGUGGGCUGUGUCCGGGAGCUUCCAAUCCCAAACUUGAGGUGGCUUGGGGUCCGUGUGGGCGCUGGCUGUAGGACCCCAGUGUAAGUGGUGACUGUGGGGCCUGUGAGCUCCCUGAAGAAGCUAGCAAGUGGCAGAGAUCCAGGCAAACGUGGGAAUACUUUCUUAAGUUUGGCCGUAGAAACAGAGGAGUCAGUGAUGUUAUGGAUGCAUCACAGCGUGGAUACAGCAUGUAGCCUGAGUCAGGAGGGCAGCAUGUUUUCUAAGAUGUAAAGUCACUCAUUCUAAAUGGUGUAGAAAGUGCUCUGUGCUUGUAAUGUUUUCAGGCUUAAAUUGUCUAGAAAUGAGUAUUUUCCAACAAUCAGAAAUUAAACUCAGUAUAUCUGCUGGCUUUGUAACUUAUCUGCUUGUUCUUUGAUUGGCUUGUGACUCCCUUCUUCAUAUUUUCUGCUAAUCUUUUAUUACUACGUUAACAUGCGUUAUAUCCAAGCAUUGAACAAGCUUGCCAGAAGUACUUUAGUGUUCAUUUGUUUUGUUUACCUGAUUGUGGGCUUUUUAGAUUCAUUCUUUAUAACUUUGACAUGGAGUCAGAAAGGACUUGUGGUGGUGGUGGAGAUGAUGUUGUACAGUUAGUUGCUAUGACAAAUGUAGUUUUUCUUUACUAAGACUUUGGUCCUGAAUAUGUUUCUGAUGCGUGUGGCCUAUGCUGCUGUCAGAUACUUGGGGUAUCUAAAGACAUCUACCACAGCUGUACUGUACACUGAAGUGUGAAGCUGGUAUCUUUUAUCAGCUCAUGCUGAAUCUGUAGUAAACGGCUAAAGCAGUGCUGAAAAGUUUUGAUUAAAAUUAUAUGCGAGAUAGAAGAGAAGCUGAUUGAGAGAGCAGGACCUGGGAAAUCCGAUUGCAGAGUGAUGAAGUAAAGAUCUAAUACUUUAACAAUGGUGUUGAGUAAGUGCUGUGAUUGAAGGGAAAGGUCUUGGAGAACAGGAGAGGUGCCUGAAGACUGGAAGAUAGCCAGUGUCACUCCAGUGUUCAAAAAGGGCAAGAAGCAGGUUCUGGAAAACUACCAGGCCAGUCAGCCUCACUUCUGACUCUGAAAAGGUGAUGGAAAAGCUUUUUCUGGAUGCCAUCUCCAAGCAAUUGGUAGAAAAGAAGGCUAUCAGGAGUAGUCAGCAUGGAUUCACCGAGGGAAACUCAUGCCUGACAAGAGUCAUAGCCUUCUGUGAUGGCAUUACCGGCUGGAUAUAUGUGGGUUUGAACUCAAAGCAAAGAUAGAGUCCAAACCUUAGCAUGACAGAAAGCGGGCUUUGUAUCAUAUUUGAAAACUCUUCACCAGUCUUCGUACUCUCUUGGACUGUAAAUUAGAUGCGAACUUACCUGGUGAAAAUGUCAUGGAGAUGAGAGAGAAGAGAUGCAGAAAAGCAGAGAGUUUCCAUCCUCCUGCCGACCCAGUGGAAGACAAUGCUGUAACAGCAGGCGUCUGAUAAAACAGUGAAGUUGUGACUAGAGUCUGCCUUGAACUGGUGUUUCAGUUCAGAAUGCCAGCACACGUGAAGAAUGCUCUCAUUCUGACCAUCUGUUGUCGCAGGUAAAUUGAGAGAUGGUAGCACACAACAGUGUAUUGUUGUAAAGAAAGUUUGUACUGCCUUAGUAUUAGAAGUUGAAGGGCUUAUAGAAUAUUUUCUGACCCUGAAAAUGUUAACUUUUCCUUUCUUUCUUUGGGGGAUGUUUUUUUUUCCCCAGGUAUAUGAAGAAAAAGUGAUGAUUACAAUAAGAGAAAUUGCAAGAGAUUUUCCAGAUCUAGGGUCAGUGGUGACAUCCCCAUAAAUCAUGAGUAACCCUAACACAGACAGUCUUAAAGAGGCUUAGUUGUCAUAAACAUAUAUACUUAGGUAGAACUGUUCCCGUCAUAUUUAUCUUUCAUUCCAUAGCUUAUAGAAACCAAAUUUCUGUCAUCGACAAUUAUUAAUCAUGCAUUUACCCUGCUGAGACAUCUAAUAAAGCAUCAAGUACAGAGUCUGAACAUGAGUGAGAGAAAAGGAGAGAAAACAGAGAAAACAUAAUCCAAAUUUUUUAAAGUGAGGGGAAGAAAAAUCUCACAGAACAUCUGUUCACCACAUGUUCAUAAAUUACAGUGGGAUUUUGAACUUUUCUUCUCUCGUCUACAUGUCACGCAGAUUUAAUAGUUCAUAAUUUUACAAAAAACAACAUAAUUAUGCACCAUGCUCAAAAGAACAUGUGAUCAGCUCUCCAGCAGCACUGCUGCAAGCUGCUCUCUGUUGAUGCCAAGCUUGCAGCAGUUCAGCAUGUUGUACUUUCUCAGCCCUUGCAUGGGAGGCUCAUUAUUCAUGGCAAGACUGAAGAAAACACCACUGAAAUUCAACUCAUGAGCCUGGGCCUGAAUAUGAUAACCUUUGACUCUCCAGGGAAAUUAACAUUUUGUGCUUAGACCACAAAAAAUAUUGGAAUGUAAGAUCUUACUGAGAAAUACUAUUUCUCAUUGAGAAUGCACCUUUCCCCGAUCAGUGCGUUAUAGAACAGGUUUUUAUUUAGCUUAAAUGGAAAAGAAUGAACAAAGCAAGUAUUACAUAGAAGGCGUAUUUUGCAAAUUUUUUAUUUGUGGCUGAACUACAGAUCAGAAUCUAAAAAUAUGUGCUUCCAUCUACUUGACUGAGACAAGUCACUGGUGUACAUAUGAGUACAUGCAGUCAAGUUUCUUCUUGCCAUUUACUUCCCAUGAAACUGAUCCAUCUGUGCAUAAAACCUAUGUACAGAUUCCAGGUCUUGGGCUGAUUCUGCAUCCAAGGGAAACCCUUGCAAAUAUUUGUUCUGAGAUGUGAAAGAGAAGAGGGAAUUUAGAUGCAGAAUUAGGAAUAGAAGGAGAAAGACGAGUAUCAUGAAAGGAAAUUGUGCUUUUGUAUUUACUUCAUUGUCUCAUUUUUAAAAUUAUCCUCUUCCCUACCAAAUAACAACAUCUUAAAGAACUUAUAAACGUACAAGGAUUUUUCCUUUAUAACAUACACACAAACAAAAAACAUGGAUUCCAGCAUGCAAGAAGCAAAAGCAAAAUAUUCAGGAAGCACACUUGCAAUAAACAAAUUGGAGAUUAAAACCAUCCCAUGUCAACAUUCAGAUUCGUUAAGACCUCAAACAUAUAAGCUUUAAUGUAGUUGUAAUAUACAGAUUUAGAGUACUCUUCAAGAAAAAUAUGACUCAGGAGCAGUUGCCAGCAUGAGAAGUUUCUGCUUUUUCUUUUCCUGCUGAUGAUAAUUAUGAUUUAGGGCUCCAUAUUAAACAAGGAAGGGGCUGCAAACACAGUUUGAAAUGUUUCAUAUUGGUGUUUUAAUGAAGAUCCCAUAGAUGCCAUCUUCUUCUACCUAAGUUAAUGGAUUGAUUUAGGUAGAGGUUCUGUAAAAUGUAGUAGAAAAUCUUGUUGCAGUUAGAAAAUCCUAGCAAGAGAUUGAUUUCUAUGUAAUAAAAUUACUUCAUUAAAUGAAAUCCUCAUAUUUCUUCUGAACUCUUGAGACAGCUACCAAAUUUUAUAAAAGGCCAUUAAAUGUAGUGCACAGCUGGCAUUGGCCUGCUGGCAGGAAAAAUGAUUUUCCCCAUCUGAGUUCUCUGAGAGAGGUCCAAAGCUGCCACAGAACUGAACAAAGCUCUGUGCACCACAAACUGCUGAGGGAAACAAAACACUGCACAGGAGCAGGGGCCACUGACCAAUAGACUGAGUCCCCCAAAGCAGGUAAAACUGAGAAUAGAACGUUUGAACAAACUUGUUCAGAAUUGCCUUUGUCUGCAGCUUCACAGUUAUUUCAAGCACACGUGCUUUAUUUUUACACAGGAAUUGAGAAAAAUUAUGAAGUUGGUAUGCCUAACCAGCCCAAAUUCCAAGUUUACAGAUCAUUAUAACUGCGGAAACUGCUGGUCCACCCUUUUAUUUUUCAGAGGUAGAGAAGGUGGAGUUUUUUGAGUAUGAGGUGAGAUUGUGGCAAGUCUUUCUGCUUCCAUCAUCAUGAUUUUUUUUCACCAUUCCCUUUGCCUCUGUUGUUGUCAGGUGCACUACAGUCCUCUUGUCUUGCAGACUGACUGUCUCCUUGCACUCAGAAAACUCAAUUCAAGUAGAUAUCUUGUGAGUCUGCAAAGAUAAAUCAAUUCCAAUGUUUUUCAUCCUGGGAAAAAGGAAAGUAGAAAUCAGUUACACAGUAAGCAUGGAGAAGUUCUGACUCAUACCUAAUUUGAUCUAAUCUAAAGUUUAUUAAGCUCAGAAGAAUUUGACUGGUUUCCUUUUAGCUUUAUUUCAGAACAAUUGUUUGUGGUGCAUGCUGCAUCUCUGGGCACUUCAUCUCUUCAUCUUUCAUCCAUUUUUAUUUAAGCCUUUGUUUCUCAGUAUGGGGUGAUAUGUUGAUAAAAUAAACUACUUAUCUUUGUUGAAAUUACUCUUUUUGGUAUGAAAUGUUGGGUAUGGUAUGGUAUGAAAUUGCGCAUUACUCAGGGGGAAAAAGUCCAAGAACUUUGCAAGAUUUUAAUUAAAACUGAAUCAUGGCAUAAAUGAACAGCUAGAAAACAGUCUGAGAAAUUCAGUACUAUCCAGUUGUCAUGUUAGUUCCUUCAGUUAUUUAAUUCCAGAGAAUGUUUGGAGUAGUCAAACAGGAGAUUGAUAGCAAACUUCUUGUGAAGAAACUGUUUGCUAGGUAAUGUCCAUGCCCCCAGGAGUUGCAAAGGAAGCUCAGAGAAUAUGCAAGCUCCUGGUACAAAUAAAUUAUUUUCUCAGGGAGGAAGAAGAUCUAUGGGACAGGAGCCAUUUGUUGAGGGAAUUGAUUUCAAAGAAGAGUACCAAAGCUCAAUGAUGCAAGCUCGUUGGAGACGGAACAGGGUAGAGAGAUAUUUGCCUUCCUGGGUUUAGCUUUGCUUCAGCUUUACCUACAUAUAUGAGAAGUUGUUCAUUGUUUGCUUGAUUUUUGCAAUCAGAGGCUGACCAUACACCAGAUGAUUCCUGUGGCUGCAGGACAACGCAGCCCUCCUGACAGCGGACAGAAGUAUAUGACCAGAGGAGAUUAUAUGUACUGGAAAAACCACUGAACUGAAGUUUACAAGUUGUUGGUUGUGAGCUGUGACAAUGCACCGUGCAUUAAUAAUGCACCUUAAUGUACAUAUGAGGGGAAAUCUUGAAGAAAACCUGCACGAAGCGUGUAUUCACUACAGUGCUGUGAGUAGCUGGUAGAACAGAGUUGAGAAUGUAAUUUAGCUAGUGAACAGAAAACAGAUAGAAGAAAAAGCAAGAAAAGGCCGCACCUAAUGUUCAGAGUAAGACUUCUUUUCUCAUUGAAAUGUGAAGGUGGAUUCCCAAAUCUUUGUUCCAGAUUUUGGCUCUAUGACAAGUAAGUAUAAAGAGAAGAAAGAUGAAUGUGACUAUAAUACACAGGCAAAGCUGUGCAUAUCUGAUGCGUAAAAAGAAUUUGGAAUUUUGAGGUCUGCUAAAUCAGUUGAGUCUUACUGCAAUGUUUUUCUGGUUCAUUUGGCCAGAGAGCAUGUAUUAAAUCUAUAUGACCGUGCACAUAGGCAAAUAUUGAUUUCAUUAGUAAAGAAAUUGAGAAAAAUAUGUGAUGUCCUAGUAUCUGGUUAUCCAGUUCUAAUACACAUUCCUUCUUUACUCAGACUUCUACAUGAAUGAAGGUCCCAGUCAAUUCAUGAGGCCCUUCUGCCCACUCUAUAAAGGUUAAGUCCAUUCAGCAAAAAUUGAAAAUGAGAGUUGAAUACUGUGAACAAUUAAAUUCUGCAUUUGAAAUAAUAAAUGCAUAGUCUCAUGCA